GGGUGCGAUCAUACCAGCACUAAUGCACCGGAUCCCAUCAGAACUCCGCAGUUAAGCGUGCUUGGGCGAGACUAGUACUAGGAUGGGUUACCUCCUGGGAAGUCCUCGUGUUGCACCCC
rfam:Gossypium arboreum cultivar AKA8401 contig_9850_3, whole genome shotgun sequence.